UUCCGGUUGAUCCCGCCGGAAGCCACCGCUAUUGGAAUCCGCUUAAUCCAUGCCAGUCGAGAGGGUUCGGCCCUCGGCGCACUGCUCAGUAACACGUGGACAAUCUACCCUGGGGGGGGGGAUAACCUCGCAAACGUGAAAAAAAUACCCCAUAAACCGAGUUCGCUGGAACCCUUCUCGGUUCAAAGCUCCGGCCCCCCAGGAUGAUUUUGCGGCCUAUCAGGUUGUAGUGGGUGUAAAGUACCUACUACCCUACGACGGGUACGGGCCUUGGGAGAGGUCGCCCGGAUUUGGAUUCUGAAACACAAAUCCAGGCCCUACGGGGCGCAGCAGGAGCGAAAACUCCCCCCUGCGGGAAACCGCGAUGGGGGGAAUCCAAGUGCAUGCACAUAGGGUAUGCUUUUCUUGAGUGUAUAAAGCUUGAGGAAUAAGGGCUGGGUAAAACCGGUGCCAGCCGCCGCGGUAAUACCGGCAGCCCAGGUGGGGGUCACUAUUAUUGGGCCUAAAGCGUCCGUACCCUGCUCGGUAAAUCCCUGGGUAAAUCAUCCAGCUCAACUGUAUGACUUCCGGGGCGACUGCCGAGCUUGGGACUGGAAGAGGCAAGAGGUACUCAUGGGGUAGGGGUAAAAUCCAGUAUUCCUAUGGGGACCACCAGUGGCGAAGGCGUCUUGCUUGAACGGCUCCGACGGUAAGGGACGAACCCCAGGGGCACAAACCGGAUUAGAUACCCGGGUAGUCCUGGGGUGUAAACGCUGCGAACUUGGUGUUGGGGGUCCUGCUAGGGCGCUCAGUGCAGGAUAGAAGUUGUUACUCCCCCCGCCUGGGGGAGUACGGCGCAAGGGCUGAAACUUAAAGGAAUUGGCGGGGGGAGCACCGCACCGGGUGGAGCGUGCGGUUAAUUGGAUUUCAACGCCGGG
rnacentral:rRNA from 1 species